AACGCUGGCGGCAUGCUUUACACAUGCAAGUCGAACGGCAGCACGGGGGCAACCCUGGUGGCGAGUGGCGAACGGGUGAGUAAUAUAUCGGAACAUGUCCGGAAGUGGGGGAUAACGUAGCGAAAGUUACGCUAAUACCGCAUAUGCCCUGAGGGGGAAAGGAGGGGAUCGCAAGACCUUUCGCUUUCGGAGUGGCCGAUAUCAGAUUAGCUAGUUGGUGGGGUAAAGGCCUACCAAGGCAACGAUCUGUAGCUGGUCUGAGAGGACGACCAGCCACACUGGGACUGAGACACGGCCCAGACUCCUACGGGAGGCAGCAGUGGGGAAUUUUGGACAAUGGGGGCAACCCUGAUCCAGCCAUGCCGCGUGAGUGAAGAAGGCCUUCGGGUUGUAAAGCUCUUUCAGCCGGAAAGAAAUCGUGCAGAUUAAUACUCUGUAUGGAUGACGGUACCGGAAGAAGAAGCACCGGCUAACUACGUGCCAGCAGCCGCGGUAAAACGUAGGGUGCGAGCGUUAAUCGGAAUUACUGGGCGUAAAGCGUGCGCAGGCGGUUUUGUAAGACAGGUGUGAAAUCCCCGGGCUUAACCUGGGAACUGCAUUUGUGACUGCAAGGCUAGAGUAUGGCAGAGGGGGGUAGAAUUCCACGUGUAGCAGUGAAAUGCGUAGAUAUGUGGAGGAAUACCGAUGGCGAAGGCAGCCCCCUGGGUCAAUACUGACGCUCAUGCACGAAAGCGUGGGGAGCAAACAGGAUUAGAUACCCUGGUAGUCCACGCCCUAAACGAUGUCAACUAGGUGUUGGGGGAGGAGACUUCCUUAGUACCGCAGCUAA
rnacentral:rRNA from 1 species